CAGUCGUACCGACGAGAAAUCAACUCCUUGAGUGCGAACUUGUGGGCGUGUGUGAGCUUUAAAACCUCGCUGUUUGCAACGUUUGUGCUUUUUGGGUGUACUUUUUCGUAUGGUAGGCCAACAUCAGUUUUGGUCGCUAUAAAAUGGCUGGAGGAAUGUAGCUUCGAUCUCGUAUUGAAGUGUUAUAGUCUCUGGUAGAUGUAGUGAUUGAUACUGAGGAUUGCAACGAAUACCCUUCGGGCUAUUCGUCUGAUCUCUG
rnacentral:rRNA from 1 species